AGUUUCAUUUCGCAAACCACGUGAAAGCGUGGGACGCAAAGCCUCCGGCCUACAGCGCGCGCAGCGCCACGGUAGCGGGGUUGCCGGU
rnacentral:ncRNA from 2 species